UACGUAGGUGACAAGCGUUAUCCGGAAUUACUGGGCGUAAAGCGCACGCAGGCGGCGCAGUAAGUCUGAUGUGAAAUCUCCCGGCUUAACUGGGAGGGGUCAUUGGAAACUGCAGUGCUUGAGGCGGUGAGAGGGGUGUAGAAUUCCCGGUGUAGUGGUGGAAUGCGUAGAUAUCGGGAGGAAUACCAGUGGCGAAAGCGACACCCUGGCACUAGCCUGACGCUCAUGUGCGAAGGCGUGGGGAGCGAACGGG
rnacentral:rRNA from 1 species